UACGUAGGGGGCAAGCGUUGUCCGGAUUUAUUGGGCGUAAAGAGCGUGUAGGCGGCCAGACAGGUCCGCUGUGAAAACUCGAGGCUCAACCUCGAGACGCCGAUGGAAACCGUUUGGCUAGAGUCCGGAAGAGGAGAGUGGAAUUCCUGGUGUAGCGGUGAAAUGCGCAGAUAUCAGGAAGAACACCCGUGGCUAAGGCGGCUCUCUAGUACGGUACUGACGCUGAGACGCGAAAGCGUGGGGAGCGAACAGG
rnacentral:rRNA from 1 species